AACCUGCCCAAGAGAUCGGGAUAACACCUGGAAACAGAUGCUAAUACCGGAUAACAACAGAUGAUGCCUAUCAACUGUUUAAAAGAUGGUUCUGCUAUCACUCUUGGAUGGACCUGCGGUGCAUUAGCUAGUUGGUAGGGUAACGGCCUACCAAGGCGAUGAUGCAUAGCCGAGUUGAGAGACUGAUCGGCCAUAUUGGGACUGAGACACGGCCCAAACUCCUACGGGAGGCAGCAGGC
rnacentral:rRNA from 1 species